rnacentral:misc_RNA from 1 species
UUCGACUAUGCUUCUUCCCAAGCUGGAUAUAAAAUCCUUGUGAGAUCUCUUUCAGGUCUGUUGUUUGAUGGUUUAGCCAAAUCUUUUGUGUCUUUGUCUCUUUUAGCAGCUAAAGCUCUGGCCCUUCGCGAAACUCUUAGAUAUGCUCAUAGCUACUAUCUGCAAUCCUAUUUUUUUGAAAUGAUUCAGUUGUAUCUUUCUUCUUCGAGAUUUAAAGCGUUUAUGUCUUAUAAUUCUAGCAAGCUAAUUGGGUAGCAAAUAUGGGUAUACUAAACUGGUUAACUCCUGGUUGGUUGUAUAAUCUUCCUUUCCGG